AGUAAUACAUCGGAACGUGCCCAGUAGUGGGGGAUAACCCGGCGAAAGCCGGACUAAUACCGCAUACGACCUACGGGUGAAAGCAGGGGCUCGCAAGACCUUGCGCUAUUGGAGCGGCCGAUGUCAGAUUAGCUAGUUGGCGGGGUAAGAGCCCACCAAGGCGACGAUCUGUAGCUGGUCUGAGAGGACGACCAGCCACACUGGGACUGAGACACGGCCCAG
rnacentral:rRNA from 1 species